AGGAUCAGCAUUACAAGCUACAGGACACUCACUAAACAGGGCAAUGAGACACAGCAGGUAUCUGUAGGAGACCAGGCUGAAUGCUACUUGACUCCAGGACAGUGCCCUGGAAAAAAGUAAAUCUCAGGGAAUGGCUAAAUGAGUUGUGAUCCAGGAAUAUAAUGGUUUCUUACUGUGCUGUAAGAAAUGAUGGAUAUGAAGAAUUCAGAGAAGCGCGAGAAGAUGCAAAGUGAAUAAUGAUGCGGGGUGAAGGAAGCAGAACCAGGAAAAUAACAUACUACCACCAAAGAAACCCAAACUGAGUGCUGGGAAAUUCUAAUGACCAACCUUGACCCCAGAGAAAAUAGAGAAUGCAGCUGCCUCCAUUCAUUGCAGAGUGUUCUAUCCACCUAGCUGCCAGAGAAGGAAAAGGAGAC